GGCAUCUCUGGGGUAGAUCUUCACCUAAAAAGGGUCGAGGCUCGUGGUCUUGAUCCUGCAUGAAAAUCCUUUUCCCAAAUUUGGGGAGUUUAGAGCCUUGCCCACCCUUUCCAUGCAAAGGGAGAAGCAGCUCACGAGGAACGUGGCAACAUCGACAUGCAGAGAGCAGCUGAGGACUGAGAUCUUUGCAAAUGGUGGGACUGGAAAAGUCUGGAAAACUUCUUGCCUCAACUGGAAGAGACAGCAACAAAUAGAAAAAUAAAGGUAGCAAAGGUGUUGGUACCUGUGGGGAGCGAGCUCCAGAGAAAAGGCUCAUCCCGAAAUUCAGCUGCUUUCCCUGCAGGAACACAGCUGGUGUGCCUCAGCUCCCACCCCAUGGAUCUGCCCAGGAUUUAUCCUAAAAUGCAAGGAGGAAACAGCACCGGGACCCUCCCUGUGUGAGCUGAAGGCUUCAGGAGAAAGCAGCCAGGUCGGUCAGAGAAAUGAACACAUCUGGGGGAGAUGGAAUAUGUGUGCAGGGGGGAAAAUACCCGACAUUCAAAGGGUUAAAUGUACCAAGUAAAUUAUCUGCAGCAAAUGAAAUUAAAUUAAAUUAAAGAGGCCUUUUCCUGCCUCUGAUGGGCUCCUCCCAUGGGAUUUGUGCUCAAAGAGAAUCCAGGGAUGUCGCUGCCCUCUGCAUCCUCCCGAAAUGGGGACGGUGUCGGUGUCACCUCCCCAGGAGCUUCCCCUGCAUCCCCACAAUAAAUCCAAAUAUUGGGAAAGCUCUGCCCCUCCAGGGUCCGCUGCAAACCCUCCCAUGGCCCUGGGCUUGUCCUGAUGGGGACAGCCCAAGGGACUCUGGAAUUCCAGAUCAGCUCUGGAAGGGAACUCUGGGGUUCUGCCUUCCACAGGCUCCAGAUUAUUGGGGAAUUUGGCAAAUCCAAAUGCUGCAAUGUUGCCAUCUGCACUCCCUGCAGAGCUGUCCCCACACCAACCUGGACAGUUUAUGAGAAAAGCAAAGCCCAGCAAUGUUUUGGUUUUGUUCAGUUCAACACUGCUUUUAUCGGGGGAUUGAUCUCUCCACUGUGGUAUUGACAAUUUUGGGAGUGAACUUUCACUGCCUGCGUCUUCAUUUUCUCCUUUUCCAGUUGCUGAAGCUCAACCUCAAAUGAAACACUUUAAAACCCUUUUCUUCUUUCAUCUACAACCAGAAACUCCCCCCAGGAAUCAGCCACCGUCCCACCUGGAAUAGAUAUCCAAGGAAAAGGCAAGCAGGUGAUGAUGGCUCCCAUUGUAUCACAAAUCUUUUGUUAUUUGCAGGAGCACCCAGGAAAGAUUUGCUGGGACCAGAGGAAAAACAAAUGUAAUUAUGUAAAAUGGGAUAAACUGGGAAGAUUUGCAUUUGGCUUGAGUAGAAUCCCGUUUUUGAUAAUGUCUUUUUAUACCAUUUUUCUCCUCAACCACCUGAAAUAGUGGAAUGUAGAAAAGGUUUUGAGGUAAAAAGUUGUCUGAAGCCACAUUUUAAAUGGAACUGAGCUUCCAAAUUGAAUGAAGGAUUUACUGACAGUUGUGUUGCUCCACAAUUUAUCUUUCCCUGCAUUUUCCUGUCUCUCCCAAAGUGAUUUUCCUCUGGAAUAUUUGCAGCACCACUGCUGGAACUUCACCCUCGAUAUGGAGUCCAUUCCUCAAAGCCCUGCUGCUUUCAGAGGAGCUUCCAAGAGCAAGAAGAAAUAACUGGUCUGGAAUGGGGGCUGUGGUGAACAAUCACUUGGCAGAGGUUAUUUUAAUGAGCACAGCACUGAAAUCAGCCUUGCACCAUCUGCUCAGUUCCAGAAUUAUAAAUUCUGAAUUAGAAAACAAGAGAAUUCACAAACCACUCUAAAAGUGAGGGGAAGGGAGAGCAGCUUCAGCUGAUUUUUGUGAUUUAUCCCAGCCUGUGCUGGAGCUGCUCUGCUCCAUUCCUGGGUCAGGAAAAAAUAAUCCUUUUUUAUUUCUGUGUUUUAUGGCAGCCACAAACCCCUGGAAGUGCAGGAUGGGUCUGGGGGGCACCAGGAAAGAUCCCAGAGAUGGAAUUCCAUGGGGCAGGAAUAAAACCUGAGUGAGAUCUCCAGGACAUCAGAAGGUCCCCUGAAAUUGUCCCCCCAGAAAGGUACUGCUGAUAUUUUUGGAAAACUGGGAGAUGCUGGGAAACAGAGAAGAGCCUCAGAGACAACUGAGAAGAGUGUGACACAAAAUCCAAGAAUCUCUGGAAUUCCCUAUUUUAAUCUCUGAUGAUUUUCCACUUUGAAAGAGCAAAAUCCUCCAAUCUGAACCACACCAAACAUGAGAAUGAACAAAAUGCAUUGUUCCAUUUCCAUUUCUGCUGAAGAAAUGAAUUUCACAAAACAUUUGCUUUUAAUGCAGCUGCAGGUGAAACUUCCAGAAAUGAGAGCAGAAUUAUCCCUCUCUCAGCAUUCCCAGGUUCACAGACUCCUGAAAAUUAAAAGGUUCCCAGUAACUCUGUAACCUCUGGGCUGAAUUUGUCCUGUUCCCAUCACUGCAGUGAAGUUCUGAACUUGGCCAUCAGCAUCAAAUCAUUAGAGCAGGCUGCUCCACCUGGGGAAUUUAUCAUUUUCCCUAUUUUCCACUGCAGGAUGUUUUGCUCAACUUCAGCUGAAAACCUUGGAAUUUGGGCAUUAUGAACACGAUUUGGUGAUGGAAAUCAACAGAUCCACACAGCAACCAAGAGGGUGGGGAUGGCCCAGAGCUGCUGAGUUCUUCUCCUGUGGAUUUGUGACAUUUUAAUGUUGCAAAAGUCGAUGUUUCCACAACAGAAACAGCAAUUUGGGCACCAAAAAAAUCUCAAACUGAACGAGGAGCUCUUUGUUUGCAGUCUCACCAUUGGUGUAAUUAAAUCUUUUACCUGCUGGGGGAAAAAAACAACCUACAUUUGUUAAAGCUGUGGAGUGAAACUUGGAGCUGUUCAGCAGAGUUUGGCAGGUUUCAAAUGUGCCACGGUGGGAGAAUCCCAGAAUCUGAGGUGGGAAAAGCUCUCCCAGCCCAUCCAAACCCAGCUGUGCCCCAUCCCCACCCUGUCCCCAGCCCAGGGCACCCAGUGCCACCUCCAGCAAUUCCUGGGACACCUCCAGGGAUGGGGAUGCAAACCUCCCUCCCAAUAUUCACCCUUCUCCCUCUGGGAAUGGGUGGCUUUUCUCCACUGAAAUAUCCAGUGGGAAAUGGAAUUACAGCUCGUUGAAAUCUGGCAAAAAAAUCCCCCCUCCUUCCCUCCUUUGUGUGUGAACAGCAGAGCAUUUUUUUAGGUGUCAAAAGCAGAUUUUCUCCGGAGCAUCACGUGUUUGAUAACAAAAGUCUGGCAUGUGCACAUUGUUCCUGUCACUCCCUUGGGUUCCUUUCUCAGGAGCAAAUGCCACCAACUCCCCCACAGCAGCUGGGUCUGCCUCCCACCCUCCAGGGAAGAGUUCUGCCUCAUCCAGCCCUUCCUGCCUCUUGGCCACCCAAAAUCCACGCUGUUGUGUCCUGACUACUUCUCUACAGCCCCAAGGAGGUGUUGGGAAGCUGUGCUUGCCUUCAGGUCUGCAGCCUGCUGAGAGAGCAAACACCGGGUUCCACAGUGUUGUGUUCAGCCUGAGUUUCUUCUCCCUUUUCCUUCUUCAUCCAGAUUUUCCAAUUAAUAUUUCUAUGAUGUGAUUAAAGUAGCACAUUCCUGACUUUGGCUUUCUCCCUUCCAACCCACUGGGUGUGAAUUUGUAAAGCUUCAUCCACGAUAUUGUGAACAAUAUUAAUGAAUUCUGAGCUGUGCUCCCCACUCCUCAUCUUUUGUGAGCCUUUUAUCAGGAUUAAAUGUCACACCACAGAUGGGGACAUUGGCAGUGGGUGCUCAAUUUGAAUAAAAGCUCCAGAUUCUCCCUC